rnacentral:rRNA from 1 species
AAAACUUUCAACAACGGAUCUCUUGGUUCUGGCAUCGAUGAAGAACGCAGCGAAAUGCGAUAAGUAAUGUGAAUUGCAGAAUUCAGUGAAUCAUCGAAUCUUUGAACGCACAUUGCGCCCUUUGGUAUUCCAAAGGGCAUGCCUGUUCGAGCGUCAUUA